rnacentral:rRNA from 1 species
UGGAAGCAAAUCAAGGGCGUAUGGGGGAUGCCUUGGCUCCCGGAGGCGACGAAGGACGUGGUAAGCUGCGAUAAGCCACGGGGAGGUGCAAACUACCCGCGAUCCGUGGAUGUCCGAAUGGGGAAACCUAUCCCGAUGAAGUCGGGAUGAAACAAGUCGCAAACCCGCUGAACUGAAACAUCUAAGUAGGCGGAGGAAAAGAAAACAAGUAGUGAUUCCGUAAGUAGUGGCGAGCGAACGCGGAACAGGCCAAACCAUACUGCGUGCAGUAUGGGGUUGUAGGACUGCAACAUGGACCGUAUGUUUUUAGCAGAAACUUUUGGAAAAAAGUGCCACAGUGGGUGAAAGCCCCGUAUGCGAAAAAAACAUGCCACCUAGCAGUAUCCUGAGUAGGGCGAGGCCGGUGAAACCUUGUCUGAAUCUGCCAGCACCAUCUGGCAAGCCUAAAUACUACCGGGAGACCGAUAGCGAACCAGUACCGUAAGGGAAAGGUGAAAAGAACCCUAAGAAAGGGAGUGAAAAGACUCUGAAACCAUACGCCUACAAGCGGUCGGAGUCUGCCCGUAUGGGCGGAUGACGGCGUGCCUUUUGCAUAAUGAGCCUACGAGUUAUUCCUCACUGGCAGCCUAAGUACUUCAGGUACGCAAGCACAGCGAAAGCGAGUCUUAACAGGGCGAACCAUUGGUCAGUGGGGAUAGACGCGAAACCGAGUGAUCUAUCCAUGGGCAGGCUGAAGUUCCGAUAAUCUCGGAAUGGAGGGCCGAACCGGUAAGGGUUGAAAACCUUUCGGAUGACCUGUGGAUAGGGGUGAAAGGCCAAUCAAACUCGGAGAUAGCUCGUACUCCCCGAAAUGCAUUUAGGUGCAGCGUCGGACGAAUGUGUGUUGGAGGUAAAGCUACUGAAAAGGCUAGGGGGCUUCACCGCCUACCAACCCUUAACAAACUCUGAAUGCCAAUACACAGUACCGGCAGUGAGCCCCGGGGUGCGAAGGUCACGGGGCGAGAGGGGAACAACCCAGACUAUCGGCUAAGGUCCCUAAAUGUGAUUAAGUUGCAUGAAACGAGGUGGGAAUGCACUGACAGCUAGGAUGUUUGCUUGGAANNNNNNNNNNNNNNNNNNNNNNNNNNNNNNNNNNNNNNNNNNNNNNNGCGCGGAAAAUAAACGGGCAUCAAAUCACAUACCGAAGCCAUAGAUCCGCCAUCAGGCGGGUGGUAGGGGAGCAUUCUGUGGCAUCGAAGCCGCGUCGUGAGGCGCGGUGGAGCAAACAGAAAAGCAAAUGUAGGCAUAA